GGAAGUAAAAGUCGUAACAAGGUUUCCGAAGGUGAACCUGCGGAAGGAUCAUUAAAAAUAUAGCAAACCGAGCGUUAGCAAGGUUUUGCGAUCAAAAUUGUAUUUAAAACCCAACUCUUUGAAUCAAAAAUCAAAAAUAUUAUGUAAUUUAAAUAAAAGAUCACUUUCAACAACGGAUCUCUUGGCUCUCGCAUCGAUGAAGAACGUAGCGAAGUGCGAUAAGUAAUGUGAAUUGCAGUAUUCCGUGAAUCAUCGAAUCUUUGAACGCAUAUUGCACUUUCUGGUAUUCCGGAAAGUAUGCCUGUUUGAGGGUCAGUUAAAUAAAAAUCGGUGUUGUUGCUGCCUUUCGUGGUGACGCGUUGGAAUUGAGUUGUCUUACCUUCGGUUAAGUGACUUAAAAUUUUGCAUGAUUUUCGAACGUAUUUAUAUUGCUUACGUACGUUGGAGAUAUCGAAUUUUUAUUAGGUUCGGUCAUCCUCAUGACUCGCGCCUAUAAUUUUUCAUUAAAUGACCUCAAAUCAGGUAAGAAUACCCGCUGAACUUAAGCAUAUCAAUAAGCGGAGGA
rnacentral:rRNA from 1 species